UUACCACAAACAAACAAAAGUGCUACAGUAGCUAAAAUCUAAAAUUUUUGUCAACUAAACAAGGCCUAUGUGUUCGUAGGUCAUGCAUGAUGUUUUAGAUUCACGGAAUAAUAAUCAGCCUGCAGGCAUGACACUUUUUUAUUUUUUAUUUCAUUACUAGUUUACUACUUUGCUCGUCUGUGAACAGACACAAUGUAGCUCGUGUUUAUUUUUAGUUUUUUGUUUUAUAAAACAUUUUCUAUUUAACUGCAAAGGUUGCUACUUGCUAGUGUAGUAUCACUAUGUGUUAAAAUUGGUCAAUUAGGACAUCUGUUGUGCGCGACCUUGAUCCUGUUAUCGUUGAGAGUUUACCUGGAAACAGGAAAAUAUGUGACUGAUGUAUUGAUCUGAAUUUUGUACCUUGACUUUAUUCCAUGUUGUUCCUUGUCAAAACAAAAUUUCAGGUGCGCAUGGGCGACAGAUGCACCAGUCAUGAGGACAGGAUCAGCAGUUUACCUGACGAGUUACUCAUCUUGAUUAUUGAAAAGCUAGACUAGACACACGCACAACAAUAACGACCAUCAUCCUUUCCAAGCGAUGGCGUGAUCUUCCUCGGCGUUUGCCAACAUCGUAUAACCUCGUUGUCGAUGACAUCCUCCCACCACGCUAUCAUCACUUGAAAUGCUUUAACAUGGAGGCUAGCGCAGCAUGUGUGGCAGAGAAGAACAUGCACAAGCUUACCGACAUCUAUGCCAUCAAGGCUCGGCGUGAGCGUUGGAUGGCCACGAUCAGGCCUCUCACAGCCAUCCUUGAACGCUACGAGCGCCUGCCCAAGAGGCGCUACCACGCUAUGUCAAGCAGGUGAACGCAUUCCUUCUGGCCCCAAAGAAUGUGCGUCAGCACCGGCCUGCUGUCCAUAAGCUGAGGGCCUGAGGCUACAAAAGCUGGGACAUUGGCAUGAAAACAUUGAUGAAUGGGUCACUGCAGCCAUUGCCAAGUGGGGGUGUUGAGGAGUUUGAGCUUAUUAUUGAUGGCUAUUGCGGAUGCUAUAUAACCUCAAGCAGCGGGAUCGGUACCAGAACAUUCGUCUGGAGCGUCUUGUGCUAUCCAACUGCCAGCCUCUUUGUGCAUGGAACUGCCUGACAAUACAGAGGCUCACCAAACUCACAUUGGGUACAGGUUCAUAUAUGGGAAUCAUCAGUGAUAUUCUUAGGAACUGCAUAGAGCUAAGGGAUUUCAGAAUCACAUCUUCUCGUGUUUGCCAGGCUGCUCUACGAUUCUUUGUGCCGGCGUAGAAGAUAAAGAGUCUGCAAGUGGAUUGGUGCUGCUUUGGGAAAAUAUAUCUGAUGUCUCUGCCUUGUCUUGAGACCUUCGUUUGCCGUGGUCGCCCAACCAAGUUAUCCUAUAGUGAGGUGCCUCGCCUUAGGCAUGUGAGCUUGGACUACUUACAGACUGAAGAUAACGACAUCGACGAUGAAUCUGGUACUAGCAGGACAUAUCCACCUAGCAAAGUCUUCAAAAGGAUCCCACUGCUAGAUUCCCUUGCUCUAUAGUUCAAAGGGGCCGGGAUGUGGAUCGAACCUUUUGUUGUUCCUAGUGGUCAGCUCAAAAAAACUGUUCAUCGCAAAUGUCCCAGUGAACGGGGACGUACUGUGGAUUCUCCUACUGCUUGGUGCAGCAGCACCAGCCUUGGAAUCGUUCCAUAUUCAUAUUGACAACAAAUCGGAGCAGCGAAGCUCGGGUGAUCUUUGUGACAGUCUGGACGCCGAUGUGCAGCAGCAUCAGAACUGUCGCCUGAAGGAGCUCGUUGUGGCAGGCUUCGAAGGAUUUGGGUGGCAAAUAGGUUUUGCCAGGCUGAUCAUGAAGAGGUCGCCGUUGCUGAGGCACGUGCACCUGCUCGAUGGCGAGGUCAGGAACGAUGAGCAGGAGUUGGGGGCGCUGCAGAUCGUCCCACGGCGCCGGGAGUGUGGCACGAGUGUGAGCGAGCUGUGAGGUGCUGGGUUUCGCUUCCCGCCUCGAAUAAUUCUGGAAUGAGCUGCAUAGCUUCUUGUUUAAAUAACAUCAUUCCAUGCCUUGUUAAACCGGUUUAAAUUAUUUAAAAUAAGAAUGUAGAGUUAUACGUGUGCCUUGUCACCUUGUUAAAUUUGUUUAAAUUAUGAAAAAAUUAAUGUAGAGUUGUACUGUGCCUUUUUAUUUAUAAUAAUAAGGAUU